rnacentral:rRNA from 1 species
GAGGGGAGUGAAAUAGAACCUGAAACCGUGUACGUACAAGCAGUAGGAGCACCUUCGUGGUGUGACUGCGUACCUUUUGUAUAAUGGGUCAGCGACUUAUAUUCAGUGGCAAGGUUAACCGUAUAGGGGAGCCGUAGCGAAAGCGAGUCUUAACUGGGCGCUCAGUCUCUGGAUAUAGACCCGAAACCGGGUGAUCUAGCCAUGGGCAGGUUGAAGGUUGAGUAACAUCAACUGGAGGACCGAACCGACUAAUGUUGAAAAAUUAGCGGAUGACUUGUGGCUAGGGGUGAAAGGCCAAUCAAACUCGGAGAUAGCUGGUUCUCCCCGAAAGCUAUUUAGGUAGCGCCUCGGACGAAUACUACUGGGGGUAGAGCACUGUUAAGGCUAGGGGGUCAUCCCGACUUACCAACCCUUUGCAAACUCCGAAUACCAGUAAGUACUAUCCGGGAGACACACGGCGGGUGCUAACGUCCGUCGUGGAGAGGGAAACAACCCAGACCGCCAGCUAAGGUCCCAAAGUAUUGCUAAGUGGGAAACGAUGUGGGAAGGCUCAGACAGCUAGGAUGUUGGCUUAGAAGCAGCCAUCAUUUAAAGAAAGCGUAAUAGCUCACUAGUCGAGUCGGCCUGCGCGGAAGAUGUAACGGGGCUAAGCAAUACACCGAAGCUGCGGCAAU